rnacentral:lncRNA from 1 species
GGAGAUGAUGAGAAGAUGAGAUUUAUGUCUGCUGUAAUCCUCUCCUCUCUUCUCAGGAAGAAUAUCCUGGUUGUAAAGAUGCUGCUAACCCUUCAUAACCAGGAUGAGUUAGUGAAUAUCACUGACGUAGAUAAUCCAACAUCAUUGAUCAUGGAGACAAUUCUAGUUAGAAGAGAACAGAUGAACUUGUUUGUAUCUGUUUACUGAUAUUGUUU